GAGAUAGAGAGAGAGCGAGCGAGAGAGCACAGCAGCGAGAGAGAAGGACCUCAGUGUCUGCUUUCGGCAUUUUCCCUCCCCAAAAAACACUCAAAUAUCCUCACAGAGAAUCUUCCAGGAGCUUCUGUCUGCUGUAUUUUUUUUUGCAAGGGGUUCGUUUUUUUUCGGAAGUGUUCGGGUUCGGGUUUCCGAGGUUAUGAGCCGUCCGAAGCCGCUUUGGAGCGUCGCUGUCCGGGGUCCUGAGUGAGAGACAGCCACAGGAAACCUGACAUAACCCGUGAGUUGAAAAGCUCGGCAGCCAUGGAGCUGAGGGUGGGGAACAAGUACCGCCUCGGGAGGAAGAUCGGGAGCGGAUCCUUCGGAGAUAUUUACCUCGGCUCUAACAUCGCUACCGGAGAGGAAGUGGCCAUAAAACUGGAAUGUGUGAAAACCAAACACCCACAGCUCCACAUCGAGAGCAAGUUCUACAAGAUGAUGCAGG